GGAAUUUUGGACAAUGGGGGCAACCCUGAUCCAGCAAUGCCGCGUGAGUGAAGAAGGCCUUCGGGUUGUAAAGCUCUUUUGUCAGGGAAGAAACAGCGGCUCUAACACAGACUGUGAAUGACGGUACCUGAAGAAUAAGCACCGGCUAACUACGUGCCAGCAGCCGCGGUAAUACGUAGGGUGCGAGCGUUAAUCGGAAUUACUGGGCGUAAAGCGUGCGCAGGCGGUUAUACAAGACAGGCGUGAAAUCCCCGGGCUUAACCUGGGAAUGGCGUCUGUGACUGUAUAGCUAGAGUGUGUCAGAGGGGGGUGGAAUUCCACGUGUAGCAGUGAAAUGCGUAGAUAUGUGGAGGAACACCAAUGGCGAAGGCAGCCCCCUGGGAUAACACUGACGCUCAUGCACGAAAGCGUGGGGAGCAAACAGGAUUAGAUACCCUGGUAGUCCACGCCCUAAACGAUGCUGACUAGUUGUUGGGAAUUUACAUUCUCAGUAACGUAGCUAACGCGUGAAGUCAGCCGCCUGGGGAGUACGGUCGCAAGAUUAAAACUCAAAGGAAUUGACGG
rnacentral:rRNA from 1 species